rnacentral:lncRNA from 1 species
CGGUCAAAUGAUCAGGUCAUGGGUCAAAUAGAUUGACCCGGGUCAACCUAAAAAAAAAAACACUUAUAAAAAAAAACACACAAAAAAAACCCUAGAGGCAAAGAAUCAACACACAACAAAACCAAAACCAGCUGCUCUCUCCCUCUUCCCCGUCUUCAUAUUUCCACCAAAUAUCAAAGAAAAUGAGCCAGCUUAGUGAGCAAUAUUCUGGCCGUCAAGAACCUAGAAGGGGCAAAAAUCCCACCAAGCACAGGAAAGAACCAGUCAAGAUAACAUACAUUUCAAGCCCAAUGAUGGUUAAAGCAACCAAUGCCUCUGAGUUUAGGGUAAUUGUUCAAGAAUUAACAGGAAAAGAUUCCAAAGUUGAAGAUCCCUUUGAUGCAUAUUCGAUGAUUAGCAAUGAAGAAGCCAGUCAAGUUCCUCACUAUGGAACUCCACAGUUCAAUGUGGCAGGUGUGCAUUAUGUUUUUCCCAACAAUACACCAUUUCUGCAGACAAAAGAUGGUUUCUUUGGGGGAGAUGUUUUAGAGAUGUCUUUUGAAUUUCGAUUUCCUUGUGCUGGGCUGAAAUUGAAGCUAGAAAUGAGAAAACAGCCAAGAAUAAAAAAAACAGAGAGUGAAAGAAAGUGAUUCAAACCUUUUUCACAGAGAUCAAUGAUCAGACGUACGCUGCUCCUCUGCUGAGUUUCAAUUUUCAAAGACAAAGAGUAACAUAAUUAGGUUAAUU